GAGUUUGAUCCUGGCUCAGGAUGAACGCUGACAGAAUGCUUAACACAUGCAAGUCUACUUGAACUUCGGUUUGGGUGGCGGACGGGUGAGUAACGCGUAAAGAACUUGCCUCACAGUUAGGGACAACAUUUGGAAACGAAUGCUAAUACCUGAUAUUAUGAUUUUAGGGCAUCCUAAGAUUAUGAAAGCUAUAUGCGCUGUGAGAGAGCUUUGCGUCCCAUUAGCUAGUUGGAGAGGUAACGGCUCACCAAGGCGAUGAUGGGUAGCCGGCCUGAGAGGGUGAACGGCCACAAGGGGACUGAGACACGGCCCUUACUCCUACGGGAGGCAGCAGUGGGGAAUAUUGGACAAUGGACCAAAAGUCUGAUCCAGCAAUUCUGUGUGCACGAUGACGUUUUUCGGAAUGUAAAGUGCUUUCAGUUGGGAAGAAAAAAAUGACGGUACCAACAGAAGAAGUGACGGCUAAAUACGUGCCAGCAGCCGCGGUAAUACGUAUGUCACAAGCGUUAUCCGGAUUUAUUGGGCGUAAAGCGCGUCUAGGUGGUUAUGUAAGUCUGAUGUGAAAAUGCAGGGCUCAACUCUGUAUUGCGUUGGAAACUGCAUGACUAGAGUACUGGAGAGGUAAGCGGAACUACAAGUGUAGAGGUGAAAUUCGUAGAUAUUUGUAGGAAUGCCGAUGGGGAAGCCAGCUUACUGGACAGAUACUGACGCUGAAGCGCGAAAGCGUGGGUAGCAAACAGGAUUAGAUACCCUGGUAGUCCACGC
rnacentral:rRNA from 1 species